GUGUCAGCCGCCGCGGUAAUACGUAGGGUGCGAGCGUUGUCCGGAAUUAUUGGGCGUAAAGAGCUCGUAGGCGGUCUGUCACGUCGAUCGUGAAAACUUGGGGCUUAACCCUGAGCGUGCGGUCGAUACGGGCAUGACUUGAGUUCGGCAGGGGAGACUGGAAUUCCUGGUGUAGCGGUGAAAUGCGCAGAUAUCAGGAGGAACACCGGUGGCGAAGGCGGGUCUCUGGGCCGAUACUGACGCUGAGGAGCGAAAGCGUGGGGAGCAAACAGGAUUAGAUACCCCCGUAGUCC
rnacentral:rRNA from 1 species